rnacentral:rRNA from 1 species
UACGGAAUGUGCAAACGUUAUUCGGAAUCACUGGGCUUAAAGAGUCCGUAGGCGGCCUGUUAGGUGAGGUGUGAAAUCCCUCGGCCCAACCGAGGAAUUGCGCUUCAAACCGGCAGGCUUGAGGAGGAUAGAGGUGGGCGGAACUGAUGGUGGAGCGGUGAAAUGCGUUGAUAUCAUCAGGAACACCGGAGGCGAAAGCGGUCCACUGGGUCCUUUCUGACGCUGAGGGACGAAAGCUAGGGGAGCGAACGGG